GUGCUCACUUCGGCAGCACAUAUACUAAAGUUGGGCCGAUACAGAGAAGAUUAGCAUGGCCCCUGCGCAGUGAUGACAUGCCAAUUCAUGAAGUGUUCCAUAAAAAA